GUGCAGCAGUCGCGAAAACUCCGCAAUACGCGAAAGCGUGACGGGGCCAUCCCGAGUGCCGUCCGCUGAGGAUGGCUUUUCCCCUGUGUAGAUAGCUGGGGGAAUAAGGAGAGGGCAAGUCUGGUGUCAGCCGCCGCGGUAAUACCAGCUCUUCGAGUGGUAGGGAUGUUUAUUGGGCCUGAAGCAUCCGUAGCUGGCUGAACAAGUCCUCCGUUAAAUCCAGCGAUUUAAUCGUUGGAUUGCGGGAAAUACUGUUUGGCUAGGGGGCGAGAGAGGCCAACGGUAUUCCCGGGGUAGGGGUGAAAUCCUAUAAUCCCGGGAGGACCACCAGUGGCGAAGGCUGUUGGCUAGAACGCGCUCGACGGUGAGGGACGAAAGCUGGGGGAGCGAACCGGAUUAGAUACCCGGGUAGUCC
rnacentral:rRNA from 1 species